GCGAGAGGCAAAAAGCAGGGGAUAACGACGGGAAAACUGUCGAUAAUACCAGAAGCGCUAUAAGAACAGUAUGAUGAAACAUUGUUCUUACAAAAGGGUUUUAACAAAGACCCACUCUUUGCAUCGGCCGUAUAUCUAUUAUAGUAGAAGGAUGUGUAUUGAACAUUCUUGCUGUUGAUGGAUACGGAGAAUUAGGGUUCGAUUCCGGAGAGGGAGCAUGAGAAAUGGCUACUACAUCUAAGGGUGGCAGCAGGCGCGAAAAUUGCCCAAUACAGACUCUGUGAGGCAGUGACAAAACAUAACAAUGAUGUGGUUGAUAAAACUAUGUCAAUUGGAAUGAGAACGAUUGAAAAGAUUUAACGAGAAACAAGAAGAGGGCAAGUCUGGUGCCAGCAGCCGCGGUAAUACCAGCUCUUCUAGCAUAUAUUAAAGUUGCUGCAGUUAAAACGCUCGUAGUUUGAAUUAUUUCGGCGCUUGGCGGCUGGACGAUUUAAUUUGUCCGGCAGUCAGGGGGCCGAAUUAAAGCUCGGGGUGGAGGCGAUUAAUU
rnacentral:rRNA from 1 species